GACGAACGCUGGCGGCAUGCCUAAUACAUGCAAGUCGAGCGAACAUUCAAAGAAGCUUGCUUCUUUGAAUGUUAGCGGCGGAUGGGUGAGUAACACGUGGGCAACCUGCCCUGCAGAUGGGGAUAACUCCGGGAAACCGGGGCUAAUACCGAAUAAUCAGUUUGUUCGCAUGAACAAACUCUGAAAGACGGCUUACGCUGUCACUGCAGGAUGGGCCCGCGGCGCAUUAGCUAGUUGGUGGGAUAACGGCCUACCAAGGCGACGAUGCGUAGCCGACCUGAGAGGGUGAUCGGCCACACUGGGACUGAGACACGGCCCAGACUCCUACGGGAGGCAGCAGUAGGGAAUCUUCCACAAUGGACGAAAGUCUGAUGGAGCAAUGCCGCGUGAGUGAAGAAGGUUUUCGGAUCGUAAAACUCUGUUGUGAGGGAAGAACAAGUACGGGGAAGUAACUGCCCGUGCCUUGACGGUACCUCAUUAGAA
rnacentral:rRNA from 1 species